UGUCUCUCGCUAGGUAGAGUGGCAUCCGGUUGGUGGGGGCCAGCUCAUAUCAGCAGGGACAAAGCAACCCCUUGUUUAUCCCAGCUUGGCAUUUGGUCUGUGUUCAUGCCUGGUUCAUGCCUUGGACACAUGG